rnacentral:rRNA from 1 species
CGCUAUCACUCCUACGGGAGCAGCAGUGGGGAAUAUUGCACAAUGGGCGCAAGCCUGAUGCAGCAACGCCGUGUGAGUGAAGAAGGUUUUCGGAUCGUAAAACUCUGUCCUAAGGGAAGAAAAAUGACGGUACCUUAGGAGGAAGCCCCGGCUAACUACGUGCCAGCAGCCGCGGUAAUACGUAGGGGCAAGCGUUAUCCGGAAUCACUGGGCGUAAAGGGUGCGUAGGCGGCUUAGCAAGCCAGGGGUGAAAGGCAUUGGCUCAACCAAUGUAAGCCUUUGGAACUGUUAAGCUUGAGUGCAGGAGAGGUAAGUGGAAUUCCUAGUGUAGAGGUGAAAUUCGUAGAUAUUAGGAGGAACACCAGUGGCGAAGGCGACUUACUGGACUGUAACUGACGCUGAUGCACGAAAGCGUGGGUAGCGAACAGGAUUAGAUACCCUGGUAG